rnacentral:tRNA from 1 species
GGGGGUGCUGGUUGGGUGGAGUGCCUGCCGAUGAGCACGAUACCUGACGAGAACCGAUCAUCGGCUAUGUCGUGUAGAAGUCAUCGUUGAGCACUUGCGGACCCGGGUUCGACUCCCGGCGCCUCCA